AGCGGGCCGGGUGGUCGCGUCCCGAAGAGGUUCAACCUCCAAGGAUGAGGAAAGUCCGAGCACCGAAGGGCAGGAUGCUGGGUAACGCCCAGGCGGGGUAACCCGACGGAAAGUGCCACAGAGAACAGACCGCCAGCGGGCCGGGAAACCGGCAGCGGGCAAGGGUGAAACGGUGGGGUAAGAGCCCACCGCGCGCUCGGAGACGAGGGCGGCACGGCAAACCCCAUCCGGUGCAAGGCCUAAUAGGAGCGAAGAGGCUGCCCGCCUCGCCCUACGCGUCGCUCGCGACGCGCACGCUCGGGUUGGCCGCAACGAGGUGUCGGGUAACCGGCAUCCCAGAUAAAUGACCAUCCGUCCGUCGUACGGGCGACAGAACUCGGCUUACAGGCCCGCUU
rnacentral:RNase_P_RNA from 1 species